rnacentral:rRNA from 1 species
GUAGGGAAUAUUGGACAAUGGGGGGAACCCUGAUCCAGCCAUGCCGCGUGGAGGAAGACUGCCCUCUGGGUUGUAAACUCCUUUUAUAUGGGAAGAACCGUCCUCAUUAAUGAGUGACCUGACGGUACCAUAGGAAUAAGCACCGGCUAACUCCGUGCCAGCAGCCGCGGUAAUACGGAGGGUGCAAGCGUUAUCCGGAUUCACUGGGUUUAAAGGGUGCGUAGGCGGAUAAAUAAGUCAGUGGUGAAAUCAACGGGCUCAACCUGUUAACUGCCAUUGGUACUGUGUAUCUUGAAUAUGAGAGAGGUAGGCGGAAUGUUGCAUGUAGCGGUGAAAUGCUUAGAUAUGCUACGGAACACCGAUUGUGAAGGCAGCUUACUAUUUCGUAAUUGACGCUGGGGCACGAAAGCGUGGGUAGCGAACAGGAUUAGAAACCCCGGUAGUCC